AGAUAUUUUUUGUAAUCUGUAAUCGAGUGGCGUCAGUAUUUCACAAAACUAAUGAAGUUUUAAGGACCUAUAUAAAUGUAGGAAAUGAUUAUCAACAGAUUGAAUUAAUUUCCUACAAUUGUUUGCUGCUUAAUACUGCUAUUAAUAUUUAUGGUUUCUGUAAUAUUGAUUUAAGAUCAUUAUUUAUUGUAAUAGCUCAAACUUCUCUUAAUAUAGUUGUAUUAGUACAAUCUGAUUUACAGAAUAUUAAAAAAUAAACGUAAUUGUUUACGUGA